CCCUUAGACGUUCUGGGCCGCACGCGCGCUACACUGACAAAGGCAACGAGCUACUCUUCACCGAAAGGUGUGGGUAAUCUUUUGAAACUUUGUCGUGCUGGGGAUAGAUCCUUGCAAUUUUUGAUCUUAAACGAGGAAUUCCUAGUAAGCGCAAGUCAUCAACUUGCGUUGAUUACGUCCCUGCCCUUUGUACACACCGCCCGUCGCUACUACCGAUUGAAUGGUUUAGUGAGGCCUUCGGAUCCGCGACCCGUUUGUGGAGAAGUUGGACAAACUCAGUCAUUUAGAGGAAGUAAAAGUCGUAACA
rnacentral:rRNA from 1 species